UAAAGCUGGAUUCAUAUUGUCACCAUUCAUGUAAGCAGUCUACAAGUUUGUGACGACAGCAGAACUUCAGGAUGUUUUUCAUGUGGACAUGUUUCAGUCUGUUGUGUGCUGCUAUUAUUCUAAGCAGCAGUGCCUCAAAUGAUGAAGUGUCACUGAAGUGCAACGACACAGCGGAGGUUGUUGCUGGAGAAGAUGUGACACUGAACUGUAGUAUAAGUUACACGACUGGAAACAACUGUGAAGUUCAACAAUAUGAUUGGAGUAACUCACAUGAUAUCAUACAGUGUAACAGUGACCUGAAGGAAUACAUCUGUGGUUGGGACAAACUGACUUAUGUGUA